AUGGCACUAAACUGCUUUAAAGUAUCGGUUUCAAGUUACAGGAUGUCGCAGUUGCUGUUUUGGGGUAGGAGAUAUGUGUCUUGGGACGAUCAAAGAGGUGAUAUUUCUUGUUUAACAGAGCAUGUCAAAGAUAAGGUUAUUUUUCCCUUGCCUUCCUGCUGCAUCUUUACCCCUGUCUGCUGUUCCAAGUGUGAAAGCUUGGUUUCAUUUAGAAAAACAACAGAAGAGUGCCCACCAUGUUCAGUCAUUUCACAGCCUUCCGAGGUGAUGGCUGGGAACCACCUACAGUCCAUCAUUGUCAAGACUGAAGUUCUCUGGUCAUCUAACGAGGCAGAACCCUGGGUAUUACUGCUAAUUCAUUACUCAGCAUGGCUCUCUAUGGGCCUUUCAGAAAGGGCAUUGCAAACCACUGCUGUAAAAGUACGUGACUGGCUCCACAGGAGGAGUAAUGACAUUUGCUACAUCCUGCCAUCUUCUUGCAUGGUCUAAUCUUGUCUCUAAUGUUAAUUCUAUGUUGGUAAUAAUUUUAAAAGGCUUGUCUCUCUCUACCAUGAGGCAAAAAAAAGUUCCAUACACACAUCACAUGCACACUGAGUACAUACCUUUCUAUUACCAAAGUCAGGAAUUUCAAUUUGAGUGAUUUUUCUCUUCCUUUUCUAAAUUGUUGUGGUGUGUUUUUAUUUCAGUAAGUUUGAAGUUUUUUAUAUACAUGGUUUGUUCUGUUCCCCCCUAUGUUGUUCACUGCUCCUAAAGUUGCAUCCUCCCCAAAGUUGCCCAUCAAUGUAUUCCUGCCCCUUAUUCCAGUGUUGUCAUUGUAACACUGUCCCUUUAUCCAGAUCCUUCUCUGUCAGUUUUAAUCUGGUACCCACCCUUUAUUCUGGAAUCUUCCCUGUCAAUCAUCUGAUAUUUGAUGUUCCAUUGGAUUAUGUAAAUUGUUCCAUCCCCCCAGGCUUCCCCAUUGGUCCUUGCACUAUGAACCCCACCUUGAACUCCUCCCCCAAGUCUUCCCUAUUGGUUUAUGAUUUGUAUCAGCCCCUUGAUCCUCUCCUGUAUAAAAGUUGCUGUACACGGUGUUUGGUUGUCUUUUGUCUCUGGAUCUUCCAAAAGUAAGCCUUUCUUUGGAAACCACACAGGAGAUCCUUCCCCAGUUCCUGCCCCUACCAUCGGUGCACAACAGAAUUUGUGCCAUAGAGCAAGAGCUCUACAGCUGCACCCCAGACUGCACACCUUUCUGGGGUCAGCCCACACCUUGGCAUGGUGCUGGGAGCUGGCUGGGUGAAAUCCAGCACUGUGUCACUAAAUGUGUGUUAUUCCAGCAAUGGCACACCUACUUACACUGAAAUUACAUGAUGAAUACUUUUUUGUAAGACUGGUUAUUCCUUUACCUGCAGCAGAGGGCAGAGAUGGAGAAAAUACAUCUUGCCUUUGAUAGCCAGAAUAUAGGUGUGAACAGUUUUUGACAUCCACAUUGUUCAGCUUAUUUUUUCUUCAUCUUGAACAGAAGUAGUAUCCUAUCCACUUACUGCAACCAAUUCACCAGAACUACUAAACUUCCCCAUUGUUUGUGGUGUUUUUUUCUUCUGUCAGGAGACACUCAGACUUGGAGAUUAACUCUGAAUUCAACCGUUUCCCCAAGUAGGUACUUGCUCUCUGCUCUCCUAGGCUCUGUUUUAAACUUCUGAUCACUUUCCAAUCAUCAGAAGGCUCCAUAACCUCUUAAGGCAGGAAACAUCAUUAAUCCCCAGCUCUUCAAGAGCCUGGAAGCUGGGCAUGAACCCUAACUUGGAGAGAACCUUGCCAUAAGGUUUUCAAUUCAUUCUGCAGCAUCACCACCAAAAUAUCACUGAAAUGAAAUGGUAGCAUUCUGAAAUUUCUCACGUCUGAAAAAACAGUAAAAUUUUUGUCUAAAGUGUGAUAUGGAUUUGGUCUAAAUUAAAUAAUGAUAAGGGGUAAAAUAGUGCAAGACCUCAUCCUCAAGAAGUUGUGGCACUGAACUGAGAUAUGGGAACAAGAUUAAAACCCUGAUGUUAGAAAUAACCCCUGCUUAUUAGUUGCAACAAACCCAUCUUGAAUAAGCAAUAGUGCUUUUCCACCUUUGGGAGGUAGGAUACUCAGGCUGAUGUCACUGGGCCAAGAGUUCUGACACAUGGCAUCCAGUGAUGCUGUGGGCUGCUGAGCUCAGGAAGGGUUCUCUGCUUCAGGCAUGGAAUCCCUCACAUGCUGGAGUUGUAUGUGGUCUCUUCAGAAGAGCAUUCUGGAAAAUAAAAAUGAUUAAUUUUUUGAGAAAUUCCUUAUU
ensembl:lncRNA